rnacentral:rRNA from 1 species
UACGUAGGGUGCAAGCGUUGUUCGGAAUUACUGGGCGUAAAGGGCGCGUAGGCGGUGCUCUAAGUCGGAUGUGAAAACUCUGGGCUCAACCCAGAGCCUGCAUCCGAAACUGGAGUGCUAGAGUUCUGGAGGGGGUAGCGGAAUUCCUGGUGUAGCGGUGAAAUGCGUAGAUAUCAGGAGGAACACCGGUGGCGAAGGCGGCUACCUGGACAGAAACAUGACGCUGGAGGCGACGAAAGCUAGGGGAGCAAACAGG